UUCUCGCCGGGCUCCCAAGGGUUGCGCAGAGCUGCCUGCAUUCCCAGGCGUCGCGCAGCUCUGCGCAACCCUAGGGAGCCCGGCGCUGAAGAGCGUG
rnacentral:miRNA from 1 species